CGCACUUGAAAAGCCACGCGCCCCUCUUCUUCCUCUUUCCUCCAUUUCUCAAAUUCCCUAACUUCUCUCUCUCACAUCGAUUUUAAAAUCCAGAAAGUGAAGCAUAACCCUAAUUUCAUCAGCUUCUUUUCUUUAUCAAGUUGAACAACAUGGAUGAUUAUCAGGAAAUGGAAAGGUUUGGUAUGGAGAACGAUUUUGAAGAUGGACAGUGGAUCGGUGGUGAAUUCUACUAUCGGAAACGGAAAGAGAAAAAGAAAGUUCAAACCAAGGAUGAUACACUCUAUGGUGUUUUUGCUUCUGGUGAUAGUGAUUCUGACUAUGAAAGAUCACCAUCUAAGAAGAGGAAAAAAGGUUUUUCAUCAAAACCUGACCUAACUAAACCUGUUAAUUUCGUAUCAACUGGAAUUGUUAUGCCUAACAAAGAAAUUGAUCAGAAUUCGAAAGAGGAGAAUGACGAGCACAUUAUGCCAGAAGAAGAGAACAAAGGUUUAGGAUUGGGAUUUGGGGCAGCUUCUGUUGGCGGCCUUGGAUUUGGUACUAGUAAUAGUUCGGUUAAUGAUAAGGCUGAUGAGGUUGAAGCUGAUGGGGCAAACUUUUUGCCCAGUGCUUUUGGUAGGAAGAUUAAAGAAGGUGCUUUAAGACGUGAGAAGGAAAGGGAAAAGGAGAAGGAGAAGUUGGCGAAGAAAUCAUCUUCUGAAUCAGUGGGGAGAAGGGAAUCUGGUGGGGAUGUCGGUGGGUUCGAGAAGUUUACCAAGGGGAUUGGGCUGAAGUUGCUUGAGAAGAUGGGUUAUAAAGGAGGUGGGUUGGGUAAAAAUGAGCAAGGAAUUGUGGCUCCGAUAGAGGCGAAGCUGAGGCCGAAGAAUAUGGGGAUGGGAUUUAAUGACUAUAAGGAGACUAGUAGUGCACCAGCUCUUGAAGAAUCAGAUGGAAAUCAGCCUGUUGCUCGUCCUGCUAUACUAUCCGUGGAAGGUCGAUCAAAAGAGAAGCUUUGGUCAAAGCAAGCUAAAAAAGUGAAGAAGGUUUAUGUUACAGCUGAAGAGUUGUUAGCUAAAAAGCAGGAGCAAGGCCUGGAAACUGUUCAGAAGGUGUUUGAUAUGAGAGGUCCACAGGUUCGAGUCUUGACGAAUUUGGAGAACUUGAAUGCUGAAGAGAAAGCAAGGGAAAGUGAUGUUCCAAUGCCCGAACUUCAGCAUAAUAUCAGGUUGAUUGUGGAUUUGGCAGAACUUGACAUACAAAAAAUUGAUAGUGAUUUGAGAAAUGAGAUGGAGACAGUUGUUGCUUUGCAGAAGGAGAAGGAGAAGCUUCAAGCUGAGGCAGCUCGCCAAAAAAAGCAGUUUGAUAAUAUGGAAGAGAUUGUUGGUGUAUUGGACCGGAUUGGGGAAGAGAGCACAUCUGGUACCCUGACCCUAGACUCCCUUGCAAAAGCAUUUGCAGACUUGCAGAAGCAGUAUGUUGAGGAAUACACACUCUGCAACUUGUCAAGCAUAGCGUGCUCAUAUGCUCUGCCUUUGUUUAUUCGAAUUUUUCAGGGAUGGGAUCCACUUCAAACUCCAACACAUGGAUUGGAAGUGGUUUCUCUGUGGAAGGAUCUUUUGCAAGGUGAUGACAUCUUUGCUAUCUCUGAUGCUGCAUCUCCUUAUACUCAACUAUUUAUGGAAGUUGUGUUCCCUGCUGUUAGAAUAUCCGGCACCAAUACCUGGCAGGCUAGGGACCCUGAACCAAUGCUUCGUUUUUUGGAUUCUUGGGAGAAGUUGUUGCCUUCUUCAGUCCUUCAGACAAUACUGGAAAACAUUAUUUUGCCCAAGUUAUCAGCUGCUGUGGACUACUGGGAUCCACGUCGAGAAACAGUUCCAAUCCAUUCCUGGGUUCAUCCAUGGUUGCCCUUAUUGGGUCAAAGAUUGGAAAGCUGCUACCACACUAUACGUAACAGAUUGGAAAGUGUACUGCAUGCUUGGCACCCAAGUGAUAUGUCUGCAUACUACAUAUUGUCUCCUUGGAAGACUGUGUUUGAUGCAAUUAACUGGGAAAAACUAAUGGUCCGGUUUAUUGUUCCAAAGUUGUUAGCAGUGAUGCAUGAAUUCCAAAUAAAUCCAGCAAAUCAGAACCUUGAUCAGUUCUAUUGGGUUCGUACUUGGGCUACUGCUAUUCCCAUCCAUCACAUGCUUCCAAUACUAGAUAUAUUCUUCAACAAGUGGCAAGAAGUUUUAUACCACUGGUUAUGCUCAAACCCGAACUUUGAAGAAGUGACGAAAUGGUAUUUGGGUUGGAAGGAACUUAUUCCGCAUGAACUUCAGGCAAAUGAACAUGUUCGCUAUCGACUCAAUCUGGCUCUAGACAUGAUGAACCAGGCUGUUGAAGGCUUGGAGGUGGUUCAGCCUGGUAUGAGGGAGAACAUAAGUUAUCUUAGGGUUCUUGAACAAAGGCAAUUUGAGACUCAGAAAAAAACAGCAGCACGAGCUCAAUCCCGCCCUUCUGUGGGCUCUAACAGUGGUAUCCAAAUGGAUGGUACAGGUGGUGGGGUUGACAUGAGCAUGAAAGAAGUUAUUGAAGUUCAUGCUCAAGAGAAUGGUUUGCUGUUCAAGCCUAAACCUGGCAGGAUGCAAGAUGGUCAUCAGAUAUAUGGUUUUGGUAACAUUAGUAUUAUUAUAGAUUCUCUCAAUCAGAAGGUAUUUGCGCAAGUUGAGGACAGGUGGUCUUUUGUGUCACUUGAACAGCUGUUGGACCUGCAUAAUCGAUCUGGGUUAAAGCGCCGAUAGAUGUCUUAAGUUCUUGAAUGUUAUCUAUCUCUGGCGCAAUUAGAGCUUCCAAACUGAUGAAAUCAUCAUGUCGAAGAUGCAUUUUGUCUUACUGGAAUUUGGAGAGGGUUACUUUGUGAAGGGUUUGCGGUCUCUGUCUGACAAGUGUCUUUUGAAGAGAAGAAAGCUUAGCCUAUUUCGAUUUCAUUAGCACUUUUAACGUUGAGGCUUAUUUGUCCUUAGGUUUGCAAAGGCCGAUAAGCAAUCUUGCCAGUUUGAUCUCCUAGUGUUAGAAGGCCCUAUGGCGGUCGUCAAACCAGAGAUAUCAUGUGUGUUGAAUGACUUCAGAAUGGGCAAAAUUCCUUUUGAAUAAGUGCUGUCAUGUGUUUUACAGUCCAAGGUGUGAGCAUUAGAUCUUCAGUGCAUUUCUACCUAUCAAAAGAAGAGAUCUGUAGUACUUUUGUGUUGCUUUCCAUAUCACUUAUAUGUUUAUUUAUAAUACAAAUUUUGGAAAGACAGUCAUAAUUUUGGCUCAAAUAUUAUGUAUCGUUUCUGAAAGAUUCUUUCUCAGUGACAUAUCAACAAACAGUUUAGCGUCAAACCCUUUAUGGCCAUAAGUUUGAAGAGCAGCUUCUUGAACUCUUUCAAGAAAAAUCACUGAAGGGGUUGUGGGGAUUACAGGACCCUUGUCAAUGGAUGUGCAAGUUUCAGCUUUAAUCAUAUUUACCAACAGAUUAAAAAUCAUAAAAAUAGUAGCUUUAUCCAUGCCAUAACCAAUUUAUAUGAAGGAAAAAAUGUUUUUUUGUUUGUUUGUAAGAACAGAAAGGCCGGCAAUGGGAAUAGUUGCAGGUAAAUUGAAGACAGGAGGCUCAAUGGUCUAAAGCUAUUAAUUGAAAAAUCAGGAACUCGAUGAGUAUUAUAAUAGGUUGUUACACAGAAAAGAUACUUGAUUUUGUGUUUUCAAUGAUGAAUCCGGCAGAAACCAAGUUGUGUCUCUCUCUUUAAUUUGUGUGUGUUUCUUAUUGAGAAAGUUGGGUUUAAUUUUGAUCCAUUUUUUGUUGAGACAAGGGUUAGGGUUUGUGAAUGUUAUUUUUAAGUUACAGUUAUAUAAAAUUUGUGAAAGUAUGUAUGUUUGUUUAGAUGCUGAUCUUGGUGUUGUCAUUAUAAUUGCCUAGGUUUUGACAUUUCGAUUGGUAAUUGCUUAUUUACUUCCCUUAAUUAUUUUCAGUGACUCUGCACAUCUCAGUAAUCAGUAUCUUUAUCCCCCAUUUAUGAAUUACUUGAAACUUAUAUUGCUGCCAUUUACUGGUAUGUUAGUUGCUAUGCUACUCAUAAUAUUUAGCUGUGUCAUUUGUGUUUCAUGAUUGAUUUCAUUUUUGUUACUUUUUUAAUUUGGAGUAUAAAUUGUUAGCGUCCCACUUGCAUCUUUUGCAAAUUAUUUCCAUGUUGAAUUCAAUCUUAAGAAUAUGAAGGGUUGAAGAAUUUGUCGUUCUAGUAUUUAUUCAUAGUGUAAAACAUGUUCAAGAGCCGAUGUAAGUUGUGAUAUAACCCAGAGAGUGAGUACCUGAUGUUUAGUGUGCCUGCUAUGUUGACUAAGACAAGACUUAUCCUUCAUCUUUUUUGGGGGAAAAAAAGAAAACAAAAAGAAGAACCGGUAGACGAUUUAGCAUUGUUAGCAACAGUAGGAUGUAGGGGCACAUAUUCAAAUUGUGCAGUCCAUUUGAUUCCUUUUUUGCAACUUACAUACCUUCUUUUUUGCUGAGACAUCAUUUCAACUUCAUAUAUCUUAGAAUCCAUAUUGUGUAUGGACUUGGUUGCAUCUUUUCCUGUUGUAUAUUUUUGCUGCCGUCAUGUGAUUUAUGCUUGUGCUGCAAAUCUUGAACCUAACUGUUAGAGGAAUAUUGACAGACUCGUCUUCUUUAUGUUACUUUUCUUUUUCUAAGUACAAAGUGAUGAGAAGUCCAGGGCAGAAUAGGAGAAAAGGAAAAGGGAGCUCCGCCUGGAAAUUUAACCAUUUCUGAUACAGCAAUGCAACAAAUGACAUCUAUUAAAGUGAACUAUUUCAAACUAAUCAUAUAAACACGUAGUCAAAUACUCCAUUAUAUAUACUACGUCUCAUUGUUUGGAAUACCAUAGGAGGAACAUAAUUGGGUAGUAGUUGUAGAAAAUUAAUGUUCCUUAUGUAAUCAGCUUUCCUUUUCUUUUCCCCCCUUCAUAAUCUGCGACAUUUUCGUUAUUUAUUUU